AGUGAACGCUGGCGGUAGGCCUAACACAUGCAAGUCGAACGGCAGCACAGUAAGAGCUUGCUCUUACGGGUGGCGAGUGGCGGACGGGUGAGGAAUACAUCGGAAUCUACUUUUUCGUGGGGGAUAACGUAGGGAAACUUACGCUAAUACCGCAUACGACCUACGGGUGAAAGCAGGGGAUCUUCGGACCUUGCGCGAUUGAAUGAGCUGAUGUCGGAUUAGCUAGUUGGCGGGGUAAAGGCCCACCAAGGCGACGAUCCGUAGCUGGUCUGAGAGGAUGAUCAGCCACACUGGAACUGAGACACGGUCCAGACUCCUACGGGAGGCAGCAGUGGGGAAUAUUGGACAAUGGGCGCAAGCCUGAUCCAGCCAUACCGCGUGGGUGAAGAAGGCCUUCGGGUUGUAAAGCCCUUUUGUUGGGAAAGAAAAGCAGCAGGUUAAUACCCCGCUGUUCUGACGGUACCCAAAGAAUAAGCACCGACUAACUUCGUG
rnacentral:rRNA from 1 species